UGACCGAAAUGGUCAGUUGACCCCUUUAGGAGUUACUGCCCUUUAUAGUCAAUUUUUAACCAUUUUUCGUAAAUCUGAGUAAUCUUUUACAAAAAUCUUCUCCUCUGAAACUGCUGGGCCAAAUUAAUCCAAACUUGACCACAAUCAUCUUUGGGGUAUCUAGUUUAAAAAAUGUGUCCGGUGACCCGGCCAUCCAACCAAAAUGG
rnacentral:lncRNA from 1 species